AACGAACGCUGGCGGCAGGCUUAACACAUGCAAGUCGAACGCCCCGCAAGGGGAGUGGCAGACGGGUGAGUAACACGUGGGAACGUGCCCUAAGGUUCGGAAUAUUCUCGGGAAACUGAGAGCAAUACCGAAUGUGUCCGAGAGGAGAAAGAUUUAUCGCCUUAGGAUCGGCCCGCGUUGGAUUAGCUAGUUGGUGGGGUAAAAGCCUACCAAGGCGACGAUCCAUAGCUGGUCUGAGAGGACGACCAGCCACACUGGGACUGAGACACGGCCCAGACUCCUACGGGAGGCAGCAGUGGGGAAUCUUGGACAAUGGGCGCAAGCCUGAUCCAGCCAUGCCGCGUGAGUGAUGAAGGCCCUAGGGUUGUAAAACUCUUUCGCCGAGGACGAUAAUGACGGUACUCGGAGAAGAAGCUCCGGCUAACUUCGUGCCAGCCGCCGCCGUAA
rnacentral:rRNA from 1 species